UACAGAGGGUGCAAGCGUUGUCCGGAAUUAUUGGGCGUAAAGAGCUCGUAGGCGGUUUGUCGCGUCUGAUGUGAAAACCCGAGGCUCAACCUCGGGCCUGCAGUGGGUACGGGCAGACUAGAGUGUGGUAGGGGAGACUGGAAUUCCUGGUGUAGCGGUGGAAUGCGCAGAUAUCAGGAGGAACACCAAUGGCGAAGGCAGGUCUCUGGGCCACAACUGACGCUGAGGAGCGAAAGCGUGGGGAGCGAACAGG
rnacentral:rRNA from 1 species